rnacentral:tRNA from 1 species
GGGCGAUUAGCUCAGCCGGUUAGAGCGCUUCGCUUACACCGAAGAGGCCGGGGGUUCGAGUCCCUCAUCGCCCACCA